UACCUGGUUGAUCCUGCCAGUAGUCAUAUGCUUGUCUCAAAGAUUAAGCCAUGCAGGUCUAAGUCCAUGCCGCAAUAAGGUGAGACCGCGAAUGGCUCAUUAUAUCAGUUAUGGUUCCUUGGAUCUUCGGUUACACUUGGAUAACCCUGGUAAUUCUAGAGCUAAUACAUGCAUGACAACGCCGACUUUCGGGAAGGUGUGUUUUUAUUAGACCAAAACCAAUCGUUGCCUCCGGGUGACGUUUGAUUGAUGAUUCUGAAUAACUUUGAUCGGAUCGUACGGUCUUUGCGCCGACGACGUAUCCUUCAAAUGUCUGCCUUAUCAACUUGUUGGUUGUUUAAUGGACAACCAAGGUGGUAACGGGUGACGGAGAAUCAGGGUUCGAUACCGGAGAGGGAGCACGAGAAACGGCUACCACAUCUAAGGAAGGCAGCAGGCACGUAAAUUACCCACUCCCAGCUCGGGGAGGUAGUGACGAAAAAUAACAAUACGAGACUCAUCCGAGGCUUCGUAAUUGGAAUGAGUACACUUCAAAUCCUUUAACGAGGAUCUAUUGGAGGGCAAGUCUGGUGCCAGCAGCCGCGGUAAUUCCAGCUCCAAUAGCGUAUAUUAAAGUUGCUGCGUUUAAAAAGCUCGUAGUUGGAUCUCAGUCUCGAUCGAGCGGUCCGUCUUCUGACGGCACUGCGCGAAUCGGACAUUCCGCCGCGUUUCUUCUCAUGCUCUUCACUGAGUGUGGGGGGAGAGUGGUACGUUUACUUUGAAAAAAUUAGAGUGCUCAAAGCAGGCCACCGCCUGAAUAGUCGUGCAUGGAAUGAUGGAAUAGGGCCUCGGUUCUAUUUUGUUGGUUUCCGGAACUCGAGGUAAUGAUUAAUAGGGACGGACGGGGGCAUUUGUAUUGCGACGUUAGAGGUGAAAUUCUUAGAUCGUCGCAAGACAGACUACUGCGAAAGCAUUUGCCAAGAAUGUUUUCAUUAAUCAAGAACGAAAGUCAGAGGUUCGAAGGCGAUCAGAUACCGCCCUAGUUCUGACCAUAAACGAUGCCAACUGGCGAUCCGCCGCAGUUAAUUCAAAUGACUCGGCGGGCAGCUUCCGGGAAACCAAAGUUUUUGAGUUCCGGGGGAAGUAUGGUUGCAAAGCUGGAACUUAAAGGAAUUGACGGAAGAGCACCACCAGGAGUGGAGCCUGUGGCUUAAUUUGACUCAACACGGGAAACCUCACCAGGCCCGGACACCAGAAGGAUUGACAGAUUGAUAGCUCUUUCUUGAUUUGGUGGGUGGUGGUGCAUGGCCGUUCUUAGUUGGUGGAGUGAUUUGUCUGGUUAAUUCCGAUAACGAACGAGACCCCGGCCUACUUACUAGAACACGGAUCCGUUUGUCCGUGCCGUCUUCUUAGAGGGACAACUGGCUACACGAAAUAGCUACAUGAAAUGGGGCAAUAACAGGUCUGUGAUGCCCUUAGAUGUUCUGGGCCGCACACGCGCUACACUGAAGGGAUCAUCGUGUAAUCCUUGGCCGAAAGGUCGGGGAAACCCGCUGAAUUCUCUUCGUGCUAGGGAUUGAGGCUUGCAACUGUUUCUCAUGAACGAGGAAUUCCCAGUAAGCGUGAGUCAUCAGCUCGCGCUGAUUACGUCCCUGCUCUUUGUACACACCGCCCGUCGCUACUACCGAUUGAAUGAUUUAGUGAGGCUUUCGGACUGGAUUUGAUUGGCGGCUCGCCGCUGGUCUCAUUCGGAAAGACAUCCAAACUGAAUUAUUUAGAGGAAGUAAAAGUCGUAACAAGGUUUCCGUAGGUGAACCUGCGGAAGGAUCA
rnacentral:rRNA from 1 species